rnacentral:rRNA from 1 species
UCCUAAGCCAUUGGCGAGUCGAAUGUAGCAAUACAUGGCGAACUGCUCAGUAACACGUGGACAACCUGCCCUUAGGACGGGGAUAAACCCGGGAAACUGGGUAUAAUACCCGAUAGGUCUCGAUUGCUGGAAUGCAUCGAGAUUUAAAGCUCCGGCGCCUAAGGAUGGGUCUGCGGCCUAUCAGGUAGUAGUGGGUGUAGCGUACCUACUAGCCUACGACGGGUACGGGUUGUGAGAGCAAGAGCCCGGAGAUGGAUUCUGAGACACGAAUCCAGGCCCUACGGGGUGCAGCAGGCGCGAAAACUUUACAAUGCUGGCAACAGCGAUAAGGGAACCUCGAGUGCCAGGUUACAAAUCUGGCUGUCGAGAUGCCUAAAAAGCAUUUCAUAGCAAGGGCCGGGCAAGACCGGUGCCAGCCGCCGCGGUAACACCGGCGGCUCGAGUGGUAACCGUUAUUAUUGGGUCUAAAGGGUCUGUAGCCGGCCGGAUAAGUCUCUUGAGAAAUCUGGCAGCUUAACUGUCAGGCUUUCAGGAGAUACUGUCUGGCUCGAGGCCGGGAGAGGUGAGAGGUACUUCAGGGGUAGGGGUGAAAUCUUGUAAUCCUUGAAGGACCACCAGUGGCGAAGGCGUCUCACCAGAACGGACCUGACGGCAAGGGACGAAAGCUAGGGGCACGAACCGGAUUAGAUACCCGGGUAGUCCUAGCCGUAAACGAUACUCGCUAGGUGUCGGCCACGGUGCGACCGUUGUCGGUGCCGUAGGGAAGCCGUGAAGCGAGCCACCUGGGAAGUACGGCCGCAAGGCUGAAACUUAAAGGAAUUGGCGGGGGAGCACCACAACGGGUGGAGCUUGCGGUUUAACUGGAUUCAACGCCGGAAAUCUUACCGGGACCGACAGCAAUAUGAAGGCCAGGCUGAAGACUUCGCCGGAUUAGCUGAGAGGUGGUGCAUGGCCGUCGUCAGUCGUACUGANNUA